CCAAUAAGAAGAAUGAAUGCUAGUAAAACGAGACUUGGGCUCCAGAAUACCAAGGAUACAAGGUUUAUAGGUAACACAGUAGUGACAAAGCAGAGGUAUGGCAUUGUUAUUCAUACCUCGAAUGUUCCAAGCAAGAACAUUCAUCAAGAAAUGUUGGUGUGCUCAUCCCCCACAGGAGGAUCCUUUUCCUUUGCCAUAUCUGCC
rnacentral:lncRNA from 1 species